rnacentral:miRNA from 1 species
CUCAGAGCUGUGGUCCCAUGGU